rnacentral:rRNA from 1 species
CCCUUAGAUGUUCUGGGCCGCACGCGCGCUACACUGAUGCAUUCAACGAGCCUAUCCUUGACCGACAGGUCCGGGUAAUCUUUGAAUCUGCAUCGUGACGGGGAUAGAUUAUUGCAAUUAUUAAUCUUCAACGAGGAAUGCCUAGUAGGCGCAAGUCAUCAGCUUGCGUCGAUUACGUCCCUGCCCUUUGUACACACCGCCCGUCGCUCCUACCGAUUGGGUGUGCUGGUGAAAUGUUCAGAUCGGCCGUUUGUCGCGGUUUCCGCGGCUCGUGGCUGAGAAGUUCAUUAAACCCUCCCACCUAGAGGAAGGAGAAGUCGUAACA